AUUUUUAUUUAUAUAGUUUAUAAAAACAUUACAUUUUCAUUGUAAAAUUAAAUAUCCCUUUUUUAUAA
rnacentral:tRNA from 2 species